GUCCCUGUAGCUUAUAAACAAAGCAUGGCACUGAAGAUGCCAAGAUGGUCCCUACAUACCCGAGGACA
rnacentral:tRNA from 1 species